CCGACCUUAGCUCAGUUGGUAAAGCGGAGGUCUGUAGUUUGAUUAAUCUAAGUUGUAAAUCCUUAGGUCGCUGGUUUGAAUCCGGCAGGUCAGA
rfam:Ipomoea nil DNA, scaffold: scaffold0762, cultivar: Tokyo-kokei standard.